rnacentral:rRNA from 1 species
AGCUCGUGUCGUGAGAUGUUGGGUUAAGGUCCCGCAACGAGCGCAACCCCUCGCAUUCAGUUGCCAUCGGGUAAUGCCGGGCACUCUGGAAGGACUGCCAUCGACAAGAUAGAGGAAGGUGGGGAUGACGUCAAGUCAUCAUGGCCCUUAUGUCCAGGGCGACACACGUGCUACAAUGGCCGGCACAACGGGAAGCGAGUUCGCGAGGACGAGCGGAUCCCUCAAAGCCGGUCGCAGUUCGGAUUGAAGUCUGCAACUCGACUUCAUGAAGCUGGAAUCGCUAGUAAUCGUGGAUCAGCCAAGCCGCGGUGAAUACGUUCCCGGGCCUU